rfam:Paucibacter sp. KCTC 42545, complete genome.
GGGUCAGCAGCACACCCAGGCCUUGCCGCACGACGCAGAGCGUCGUGAGCUAAACCUGCUA